CUGAUCCAGCCAUGCCGCGUGAGUGAAGAAGGCCUUCGGGUUGUAAAGCUCUUUCGGACGGGAAGAAAUCGUUGAGGCUAAUACCCUUGACGGAUGACGGUACCGUAAUAAGAAGCACCGGCUAACUACGUGCCAGCAGCCGCGGUAAUACGUAGGGUGCGAGCGUUAAUCGGAAUUACUGGGCGUAAAGCGUGCGCAGGCGGUUUUGUAAGAUAGGCGUGAAAUCCCCGGGCUCAACCUGGGAACUGCGCUUAUGACUGCAAGGCUAGAGUAUGGCAGAGGGGGGUGGAAUUCCACGUGUAGCAGUGAAAUGCGUAGAGAUGUGGAGGAACACCGAUGGCGAAGGCAGCCCCCUGGGCCAAUACUGACGCUCAUGCACGAAAGCGUGGGUAGCAAACAGGAUUAGAUACCCUGGUAGUCCACGCCCUAAACGAUGUCAACUAGGUGUUGGGUGGGUAAAACCAUUUAGUACCGUAGCUAACGCGUGAAGUUGACCGCCUGGGGAGUACGGCCGCAAGGUUAAAACUCAAAGGAAUUGACGGGGACCCGCACAAGCGGUGGAUGAUGUGGAUUAAUUCGAUGCAACGCGAAAAACCUUACCUACCCUUGACAUGUCUGGAAGCUCUUAGAGAUUUGAGUGUGCCCGAAAGGGAGCCAGAACACAGGUGCUGCAUGGCUGUCGUCAGCUCGUGUCGUGAGAUGUUGGGUUAAGUCCCGCAACGAGCGCAACCCUUGUCGUUAAUUGCCAUCAUUUAGUUGGGCACUUUAACGAGACUGCCGGUGACAAACCGGAGGAAGGUGGG
rnacentral:rRNA from 1 species